CCCCCCCACAGUGUGGCUUGGAGAGGAUUCAGCAAUUAGGCUUGGCAGGGCAGAGCUUCCUUGUACCUGUCCCUGUGUCAUGGCACCUGCCCAGCUCCUGCCUGAAGUCCCCCGGUCUCUGAUGCCUGUGACAGGAGACUUAUCCCCCAUCCCCACGGUCUGCAUGGUGGCAGUGAUGAGAGCUGCCCACGCCAAACCUUGCAGGGAGAGGAAGAAAUGCCCAGCUGGAAGUCAGCUGAUGAGGAGCCCAGAUCUGUGCCGUGUCCUUCCGGAGCCGCAGUACCCGGAGCAGCCUGUGCCCAGCCCUGUGACACACCAGGGAGCUUUGCUUGCUGUUGGUGCUGCAGCCAGGCCCUGUGCCACCCUGCGGAGGCUGCACUGGCAGCUGCAGGAGGCCACCUUCCAAAGCUGUGUUGAUGCCAAAUGGUGACAGAAAAUGAGCUUUGUCACUGCAACGAAUGCAAGCAGUGCGGUAUGUGUAACCCACAAAAGGAUGCCUUUGGGCUUACUCCUGAGCCCUGAAGUGGAAAAACGAGAUACUCUCUCAUCUUCCCAGUCCUUGCAACAGUGCUAAAGAAUCACUCACGGAAUCUAGUAAACUGUGAAUUUACUUUUCAUUUCCCAGCAAGGUGCAGAUGUUUCCCCCCCACCAGCACUAUUCCUCCUCCUUUAGCUUGUGUGUGGCCCAGUCAGGGUUGCUGCUGGUCCACGUUCAGUCUGGAGCUCAGGGUAGGUGAAAUACGAGCCUGCAGUCCUGCACUCUCUGUUCUCCCCCCCGCACACGUUAGAGGACGAAAUAAGAAUUCCUUACGUGCAAGGAGUGCCACCUAACGGCCUGUUGAAGGAUCCCAAAGCUCCACACAAAGCUUCUGGGGUCUUAACUUUUUUUUCCAUACGCAUUAGUCUAUGAAAUCACACACACACAUAUUUUCACAUGUACUGAAAUGCAAGUCUCUUUCAUGGCCUGUCUGCCCACAAACCACACUUCAAGGGUAAUUUUUGUGCAGAGUCUUUACAUUCAUAUUUUAAAAAAUAGUUUCUUAAAUCCCAAGGCUUCAAGAGAGCAGUAGUAAUGCAGAUGCAAGUAAGAACUUGGGUAUUUCAUUUUGGAGUGUAAGACUGAAGAAUGCUGGCUCUGUUAGGGAGCAGCUGCUGGAGCCCAGCAGUUGCACUGCUGCCAUCAUCAGGCUGCAACAAAGAUGCUCACAGGGGUAUGUGGGCAGGUGUAACCUCACGAGGUCACCCGGUCCAACCUUUUAGUGUUUAAGGUGACAGGAUUCAACAAAAGGCACAGACAUGGUGUUCUAGGAUGACCAGACCCAGCAGUGCUGAGGCAAACUGCUGUGGUGACAGUUUGUUAACAUUCUCCAGCCAGAGUAGUCUGCACCAUACCACCAUCGCCAUGGAUUGCUCCACCCCCUUGGAAGAGACGUCCAUCGGUCUUUUUUCUCAGAAACUUCUUGUUGAUUCCUUCUUGCUAUUAACCCUUCAGCAAAGUGUGUCUUGCUUUACUUGAAGAGAUGCUAUGUGUAUGGAAAAUGCAGGAGAACUGAGGGGCUCCAGAAGAAUACAUGAGGAAGAAAAUCCUCACGAGCCAUUUAGUCUAUUGCAUGUCCUCCUGCUGCACCAAGGGAAUUUGGAAGUUUGAACAGCUACUUUGCACCUCAGGAAUUAUUAAUUUCUUGUCCAGGUAUGUCUAAGCCCUCUCUAGCCUUUAAUUUUGUACUAGAUUAUUACCUGAUGACCUUCAUUACAUUGGCCCAGAGGCAGGUAGCACAGCCUGUUCCAAAUGAGCAAUACUCCUCUAGUUGUUCACUUGGAAAAUGUUCCUAGAAAGGGGGCUCAAGUACCGAGGUCCCGAUUCAACUCUGUGAACAGCAGGGCCUGCCCUGCCUGAGGGGCCUGCUUCCACCCAGAUGUAAAUAGCCUCCUCAUCAGCUUAUGCACCGGCAUUAGGGUUGACUGUGAGAACACACUUCUCCCAUGUGACCCAGAUAUGCCAGGUGAAAACAAAUAGAGGUUGGACUAAAGGAGACAUGAACACACACUAUUGCUGCUAAAAUAUGUUCUAAACCAGACUAUUUAUAUUGCAUAUCUUCUUGCAAGACACUAAUACAUUUUAGUAGCCCUGAGGAAAAAUUCUUCCCGCUGCUUCAUCAGAACUCAAGUAUUAUGAAAACUUCCUAGGUAACAUUUCCACAAAGUAAAAAAUACUUGCUAAUAUUCAACCUUCAAGAUUUCUUGCCUGAUAACCAGUUUCAAGGCAACUGAAGAGCAGCCUCUUCUGAUAAAAAUGAAAGGGCCAAGUAAACUCCAUUUGGCAGUUUUAACCUCUGGAACUCCUCUCUGAAUUAUCCAGAGCAAUCCUAGUAGGUCACCACAAAAUGAGAAGGCUUUUUCCUUUAGUUUGCAGAACCUUCUAUUGACAAAAGGCACACACACGUCUGACCCUCCUUCACAGCUGCUUUGCCUCAGGAAUAGAACCUAUUAACUUGUUUCUCAAGUUUCCAUUCAGGCAACCUAGGCUGCAUUUCAGUGAAGUGGGUUUGUUUAAGGCUCAACACUGACAGUGUGUGUUGUUCCAGGCAGUAUCUAAACUCACUCAAGGACAAAGCUGAUAGAGAGGAUGGAAUUUCUCAUCUUUGACCAAAAUUGAGCAGCGUAUUUAAAAAACAUACUGGUAGUCAUUGUUAUCCUUGUGGGCAGGACACUGUAUUCAAGCACAACAUUUCACAGAAACAGCAUUUGUAGUAACAUACUCAAAAUGAAGGUGGCCAUGACCCAUUAAAACAGCCUGCAAUCAAUAGUAACUGCAAAGCCUUCCUCUCUGAAUAAAAGAGAUCCUAGUCUUAGAAUACUUCCUUGUAAAAACACAUGACAGAGGUGCUAUUUUUCCAUAGCUAAUCCAGAAUUGCUCAGUUGUUUGGACAAUGAUCUAUUUUAGGAUGUGUAUACGAGGGACAGACUUGCCUACAGCUUAAGCUCCCCCCUCCCUCAACAGGCUACACUAUUCACUAAAUUCUUCAUUUGUUUUCUGUCAUUCAAAUUCAGAAGUAAAAGAAGACAUCGGGAAAAAUCCACACAUUUAGCAAUACCCACAAUCCUCCUCCUUUACUCACAUCUGUCACAAUAGGAAAGUCAAAUGAGGAAACUGCAGAGAGCAAUUUUAAUGGAAAUAUCUCUCAAAAAUGCUUCAUAAUGUGAGAGAUGCUUUGUGGUGUAACUCUCACCCUCAUCUUAAAAACAUAAGAUAAUACAAAUAUUUCUUGGUAGUCCUGUCCUUGAAAAUGUCAAGUAUCACUGGAAGCACUGAUAGAUGGCUGCAGCUUUAAGAAGGAAGUAUGGAAAAU